AAUUCUAGUCGCUAAGCGGCAACAUUACCACUCUGACGGGAAAGUAUUCUAAGAAAUAUAAUCCGCAGCUGCUAUGGCAGUACAGAGACUAAAUGGUAGUGGGCGUAUGAUACGCUUUUGAUGUAGUCCAACCCUUAAGAGUAGUCUUGGGGUAUUGGUGUAGAUGUUCUGGGCCGCACGCGCGCUACACUGACAGAGUCAACGAGUUCAUCACCUUGGCCGAAAGGUCUGGGUAA
rnacentral:rRNA from 1 species